ACAAAACUGCCUACAAAUAAUUUUAUGUCACAAAAUUAAAAAUUUAUUAAAUAAAAUCACACGUUUGACAUAUUUAUUUGUACUUUAUAUGAUGUUAUAAAGCAAAUUUUUGUAAGGUUAUAUAUCUAAUAUUCAAAUUCCUUAAUCAACAGAAAUUAGGUUUCUGUUUGCGAAAUUUAAAUUGAUGAAAAUGAAACUUUACCAACAUAACGCAUAAUCGUUCACAUUUUUAUUUAUUCAUAUUUAAAAAACUAUCAAAUUUACAUUUAAUGAAGCAAAACUACAUAAUUUAUAUAGAAACCUCCCACCAAAAUAUUUUUGUACAUCGAUGGCAGAAAACAUGAGGUAGCUUCUAGUUGACAAAAAGUUUACACCCAUGCCUUUGUUAAACCUGGAUAAACAGUUUUCUGUGCAGCGUUUAUAAUUAAAUUUAUUUUUGGUAAUAUGACAUAUUUAUUAGGUAUCAGCCAAACAUGUCUCCAGGUAAUAGAUACAAGAAAUUUAAACCAAUAGAUACGUCUCUUCUUCUUGAAAAAGAGAGCAUAUCAUUUUAUUUUGGGGUUUCUUUUAAAAAAUUACAACAAAAUGGCCAGACUAAGAAAACGUAAGAGUAAGCAAUACCUCUAUAAAUAUAGGUAGCACCAAUUACAGGG